AAAUUGAAGAGUUUGAUCAUGGCUCAGAUUGAACGCUGGCGGCAGGCCUAACACAUGCAAGUCGAACGGUAACAGGAAGCAGCUUGCUGCUUUGCUGACGAGUGGCGGACGGGUGAGUAAUGUCUGGGAAACUGCCUGAUGGAGGGGGGAUAACUACUGGAAACGGUGGCUAAUACCGCAUAACGUCGCAAGACCAAAGAGGGGGACCUUCGGGCCUCUUGCCAUCAGAUGUGCCCAGAUGGGAUUAGCUUGUUGGUGAGGUAACGGCUCACCAAGGCGACGAUCCCUAGCUGGUCUGAGAGGAUGACCAGCCACACUGGAACUGAGACACGGUCCAGACUCCUACGGGAGGCAGCAGUGGGGAAUAUUGCACAAUGGGCGCAAGCCUGAUGCAGCCAUGCCGCGUGUAUGAAGAAGGCCUUCGGGUUGUAAAGUACUUUCAGCGGGGAGGAAGGUGUUGUGGUUAAUAACCGCAGCAAUUGACGUUACCCGCAGAAGAAGCACCGGCUAACUCCGUGCCAGCAGCCGCGGUAAUACGGAGGGUGCAAGCGUUAAUCGGAAUUACUGGGCGUAAAGCGCACGCAGGCGGUCUGUCAAGUCGGAUGUGAAAUCCCCGGGCUCAACCUGGGAACUGCAUUCGAAACUGGCAGGCUUGAGUCUUGUAGAGGGGGGUAGAAUUCCAGGUGUAGCGGUGAAAUGCGUAGAGAUCUGGAGGAAUACCGGUGGCGAAGGCGGCCCCCUGGACAAAGACUGACGCUCAGGUGCGAAAGCGUGGGGAGCAAACAGGAUUAGAUACCCUGGUAGUCCACGCCGUAAACGAUGUCUACUUGGAGGUUGUGCCCUUGAGGCGUGGCUUCCGGAGCUAACGCGUUAAGUAGACCGCCUGGGGAGUACGGCCGCAAGGUUAAAACUCAAAUGAAUUGACGGGGGCCCGCACAAGCGGUGGAGCAUGUGGUUUAAUUCGAUGCAACGCGAAGAACCUUACCUGGUCUUGACAUCCACAGAAGAAUCCAGAGAUGGAUUUGUGCCUUCGGGAACUGUGAGACAGGUGCUGCAUGGCUGUCGUCAGCUCGUGUUGUGAAAUGUUGGGUUAAGUCCCGCAACGAGCGCAACCCUUAUCCUUUGUUGCCAGCGGUUAGGCCGGGAACUCAAAGGAGACUGCCAGUGAUAAACUGGAGGAAGGUGGGGAUGACGUCAAGUCAUCAUGGCCCUUACGACCAGGGCUACACACGUGCUACAAUGGCGCAUACAAAGAGAAGCGACCUCGCGAGAGCAAGCGGACCUCAUAAAGUGCGUCGUAGUCCGGAUUGGAGUCUGCAACUCGACUCCAUGAAGUCGGAAUCGCUAGUAAUCGUGGAUCAGAAUGCCACGGUGAAUACGUUCCCGGGCCUUGUACACACCGCCCGUCACACCAUGGGAGUGGGUUGCAAAAGAAGUAGGUAGCUUAACCUUCGGGAGGGCGCUUACCACUUUGUGAUUCAUGACUGGGGUGAAGUCGUAACAAGGUAACCGUAGGGGAACCUGCGGUUGGAUCACCUCCUUA
rnacentral:rRNA from 1 species